GUAGGGGGCAAGCGUUAUCCGGAUUUANUGGGUGUAAAGGGAGCGCAGACGGCANUGCAAGUNUGAAGUGAAAGCCCGGGGCUCAACCCCGGGACUGCUUUGGAAACUGUAGAGCUAGAGUGCUGGAGAGGCAAGCGGAAUUCCUAGUGUAGCGGUGAAAUGCGUAGAUAUUAGGAAGAACACCAGUGGCGAAGGCGGCUUGCUGGACAGUAACUGACGUUCAGG
rnacentral:rRNA from 1 species